rnacentral:rRNA from 1 species
GACGAACGCUGGCGGCGUGCCUAAUACAUGCAAGUAGAACGCUGAAGAGAGGAGCUUGCUCUUCUUGGAUGAGUUGCGAACGGGUGAGUAACGCGUAGGUAACCUGCCUUGUAGCGGGGGAUAACUAUUGGAAACGAUAGCUAAUACCGCAUAACAAUGGAUGACCCAUGUCAUUUAUUUGAAAGGGGCAAAUGCUCCACUACAAGAUGGACCUGCGUUGUAUUAGCUAGUAGGUGAGGUAACGGCUCACCUAGGCGACGAUACAUAGCCGACCUGAGAGGGUGAUCGGCCACACUGGGACUGAAACACGGCCCAGACUCCUACGGGAGGCAGCAGUAGGGAAUCUUCGGCAAUGGGGGCAACCCUGACCGAGCAACGCCCCGUGAGUGAAGAAGGUUUUCGGAUCGUAAAGCUCUGUUGUAAGUCAACAACGAGUGUGAGAGUGGAAAGUUCACACUGUGACGGUAUCUUACCAGAAUGGGACGGCUAACUACGUGCCAGCAGCCGCGGUAAUACGUAGGUCCCUAGCGGUGUCCGGAUUGAUUGGGCGUAAUGCCCAGCGUGGGGGGUUUGAUAAGUCUGAUGUUAAAGGCUGUGGCUGACCCACAUUUCGCUUUGGAAACUGGCUAUCUUUUUGCAUGAUGGGAAGACUGGAAUUCCGUGUGUAGCGUGGGCAUUCUAAUAUUUGCGAGGAACACUGGGUGGAAUGUGGCUCUCUGUCCUCUUGUGGAGUGAAGGUGUGAGUGUGCCCCGUGUGUUGUUGAGUAAAGUGUUGUUCUGUGGGUGAGUUUGUGUGUUAGUUGAAGCGUGAUUCCCCAUGUCUGGUGGUGCCCAAAAUAUAUGUAUAUAUAGUGUGUGUGGUGUUUUAGUUUGUUGUGGUCUGGAUGGUGUGUAUGAAGAAAGUGGUGGUGUGGUAGCUGUAGUGCUCUCUGUGUAAAUAGGAGGUCAGUGAGAUGCCCCCGUGUGUGUGCUGUGUGAGUAGUUGUCGUUAUGCUGGUGCUGUUGUGUGUUGCCUCCCUGCUGCGUG